rnacentral:rRNA from 1 species
UACGUAGGGGGCAAGCGUUAUCCGGAUUUACUGGGUGUAAAGGGAGCGCAGGCGGCAGGGCAAGUCAGAUGUGAAAGCCCGGGGCUCAACCCCGGGACUGCAUUUGAAACUGUCCAGCUGGAGUACAGGAGAGGCAGGCGGAAUUCCUAGUGUAGCGGUGAAAUGCGUAGAUAUUAGGAGGAACACCAGUGGCGAAGGCGGCCUGCUGGACUGUAACUGACGCUGAGGCUCGAAAGCGUGGGGAGCAAACAGG